rnacentral:rRNA from 1 species
AUUGAACGCUGGCGGCGUGCUUAACACAUGCAAGUCGUGCGAGAAAGGGGACUUCGGUCCCUGAGUAGAGCGGCGCACGGGUGAGUAACGCGUGGAUUAUCUACCCAGACGUUCGGGAUAACGGCGGGAAACUGCCGCUAAUACCGGAUACGCUCCAAUUUCGGUUGGGGAAAGGCGGCCUCUGCUUGCAAGCUGUCGCAUCUGGAUGAGUCCGCGUCCCAUUAGCUUGUUGGUGGGGUAAUGGCCUACCAAGGCUACGAUGGGUAGCUGGUCUGAGAGGAUGAUCAGCCACACUGGAACUGAAACACGGUCCAGACUCCUACGGGAGGCAGCAGUGGGGAAUAUUGCGCAAUGGGGGAAACCCUGACGCAGCGACGCCGUGUGAGGG